GGCGCAAGGGAGAAGAGUCCUAUUCCAAUAAGAAUUCUUAAUUUUCUUAUUUGGAUCCAAACCAAAUCACAUCUAGUUUAAUCUAAAUAAAAUAUAUAAAAUCUAAUCUAAUUAGGUUCAUAAAUUUUUAAUCAAAUGUUAAUCAAAUUAAGAAUUGAUUGAACCAAAAUCCUGAUCAAAUCAAGGAUAAUUCUUUCUUAGCAAUUAGAUCAUCUCAUAACAU
rnacentral:lncRNA from 1 species